rnacentral:rRNA from 1 species
GACGAACGCUGGCGGCGUGCCUAAUACAUGCAAGUCGAACGAAGCUGUUUUAACUGGUGCUUGCACCGACUUAAACAACUGAGUGGCGAACGGGUGAGUAACACGUGGGUAACCUGCCCCAAAGCGGGGGAUAACAUUUGGAGACAGAUGCUAAUACCGCAUAAUCACAGAAACCACAUGGUUUCUGUGUCAAAGAUGGUUUCGGCUAUCACUUUGGGAUGGACCCGCGGCGUAUUAGCUAGUUGGUAAGGUAAUGGCUUACCAAGGCAAUGAUACGUAGCCGAACUGAGAGGUUGAUCGGCCACAUUGGGACUGAGACACGGCCCAAACUCCUACGGGAGGCAGCAGUAGGAAUCUUCCACAAUGGACGAAAGUCUGAUGGAGCAACGCCGCGUGAGUGAAGAAGGUUUUCGGAUCGUAAAACUCUGUUGUCAGAGAAGAACGUGUGCGAGAGUAACUGUUCGUGCAGUGACGGUAUCUGGCCAGAAAGCCACGGCUAACUACGUGCCAGCCGCCGCAGUAA